GAAGCGCAGCCUCGGCGGGGCCCGGCCGGCGGCGGGGAGGUCGCGGGGCCGGGAGGCGCGAGAAAAAGAAAAACAUCCAUUCAUGAGAGUUCAGGGAUACGUGAAAAUGAAGCAAAUGAGGAAAGACCCAUUCACAUUCCUCCAAAAGAUCUGUGGCUCACUGGAAUCAUGUUACUGGCUCCUGGUAGUCCCUGACUUUACCUGUUUGUUCCAGGAACUUGCUUUAUGGCCAUUUGUUCUAAUGAUCAGUUUGGACAACCAACCUUUAUUCCUCCACCUCAGACAAUAUUCAACAUCCUGUAAUCAUCAUAGCGACUACCGUGAGAACGUGCCAUCUGCAAGCCAGGAAGAGAGCCCUUACCAGAAACCAAACCCUCCUGGACUUUGAUCUUGGGUUUUCUAGCCUCUGGAAAUGUGAGAAAAUAAAUUUCUGUUUUUUAAGCCA
rnacentral:lncRNA from 1 species